UACGUAGGGUGCAAGCGUUAAUCGGAAUUACUGGGGCGUAAAAGCGUGCGCAGGCGGUUUUGUAAGUCUGUCGUGAAAUCCCCGGGCUCAACCUGGGAAUUGCGAUGGAGACUGCAAGGCUAGAAUCUGGCAGAGGGGGGGUAGAAUUCCACGUGUGAGCAGUGAAAUGCGUAGAGAUGUGGAGGAACGACCGAUGGCGAAGGCAGCCCCCUGGGUCAAGAUUGACGCUCAUGCACGAAAGC
rnacentral:rRNA from 1 species